ACAGUCAAUCGGUCUGUCGCUGCCUUGUAAUAUUUACAAGAAGAGGAAAGUCCGGGCAACACAGAGCAUCAUAUUUCCUAACGGGAAGCUGUCUGUGAAGGCAGAGUAAGGUAACAGAAAAUAACCGCCACGGAUUUUUUCGGGGUAAGGGUGAAAAGGUGGGGUAAGAGCCUACCGGUCUGGAUAGCAAUAUACAGAGCCGUACUACUUAUGAGUUGCAAGACCAUGUAUACCGACGCACGUAGGGUUGCUCGCCCGAUGUCGGGGGGUAGGUCGCUAGAGCUUGCUGGUGACAGCAAGCGUAGAUAAAUGACAGGCACUUCUUUUUCGGAAGUACAGAACCCGGCUUAUAGAUUGACUGUAUUU
rnacentral:RNase_P_RNA from 1 species